GUAGGGAAUAUUGGACAAUGGGCGCAAGCCUGAUCCAGCCAUGCCGCGUGGAGGAUGAAGGUCCUCUGGAUUGUAAACUUCUUUUAUUUGGGAAGAAAUGUAGAUAUUCUUAUUUACUUGACGGUACCAGAUGAAUAAGCACCGGCUAACUCCGUGCCAGCAGCCGCGGUAAUACGGAGGGUGCAAGCGUUAUCCGGAUUCACUGGGUUUAAAGGGUGCGUAGGCGGGCAGGUAAGUCAGUGGUGAAAUCUCUAAGCUUAACUUGGAAAUUGCCAUUGAUACUAUCUAUCUUGAAUAUUGUGGAGGUUAGCGGAAUAUGUCAUGUAGCGGUGAAAUGCUUAGAUAUGACAUAGAACACCGAUUGCGAAGGCAGCUAACUACGCAUAUAUUGACGCUGAGGCACGAAAGCGUGGGGAUCAAACAGG
rnacentral:rRNA from 1 species